rnacentral:rRNA from 1 species
GACGAACGCUGGCGGCGUGCUUAACACAUGCAAGUCGAACGGAAAGGCCCUGCUUUUGUGGGGUGCUCGAGUGGCGAACGGGUGAGUAACACGUGAGUAACCUGCCCUUGACUUUGGGAUAACUUCAGGAAACUGGGGCUAAUACCGGAUAGGAGCUCCUGCUGCAUGGUGGGGGUUGGAAAGUUUCGGCGGUUGGGGAUGGACUCGCGCCUUAUCAGCUUGUUGGUGGGGUAGUGGCUUACCAAGGCUUUGACGGGUAGCCGGCCUGAGAGGGUGACCGGCCACAUUGGGACUGAGAUACGGACCAGACUCCUACGGGAGGCAGCAGUGGGGAAUAUUGCACAAUGGGCGGAAGCCUGAUGCAGCAACGCCGCGUGCGGGAUGACGGCCUUCGGGUUGUAAACCGCUUUCGCCUGUGACGAAGCGUGAGUGACGGUAAUGGGUAAAGAAGCACCGGCUAACUACGUG